AACGAACGCUGGCGGCAUGCCUAACACAUGCAAGUCGAACGAGACCUUCGGGUCUAGUGGCGCACGGGUGCGUAACGCGUGGGAAUCUGCCCUUGGGUUCGGAAUAACAGUUAGAAAUGACUGCUAAUACCGGAUGAUGACGUAAGUCCAAAGAUUUAUCGCCCAAGGAUGAGCCCGCGUAAGGUUAGCUUGUUGGUGGGGUAAUGGCCUACCAAGGCGACGAUCUUUAGCUGGUCUGAGAGGAUGAUCAGCCACACUGGGACUGAGACACGGCCCAGACUCCUACGGGAGGCAGCAGUGGGGAAUAUUGGACAAUGGGCGAAAGCCUGAUCCAGCAAUGCCGCGUGAGUGAUGAAGGCCUUAGGGUUGUAAAGCUCUUUUACAAGGGAUGAUAAUGACAGUACCUGGAGAAUAAGCUCCGGCUAACUCCGUGCCAGCCGCCGCCGUAA
rnacentral:rRNA from 1 species